rnacentral:rRNA from 1 species
CGGGCGCUGACGAGUGGCGGACGGGUGAGUAACGCGUAGGAAUCUGCCUUAUAGUGGGGGACAACGUGGGGAAACCCACGCUAAUACCGCAUACGCCCUACGGGGGAAAGGAGGGGAUCUUCGGACCUUUCGCUAUGAGAUGAGCCUGCGUUAGAUUAGCUAGUUGGUAGGGUAAAGGCCUACCAAGGCGACGAUCUAUAGCUGGUCUGAGAGGACGAUCAGCCACACUGGGACUGAGACACGGCCCAGACUCCUACGGGAGGCAGCAGUGGGGAAUAUUGGACAAUGGGCGAAAGCCUGAUCCAGCAAUACCGCGUGUGUGAAGAAGGCCUUAGGGUUGUAAAGCACUUUCAAUUGGGAGGAAAACCUGCCGGUCAAUACCCGGUAGCUUGACAUUACCUUUAGAAGAAGCACCGGCUAACUCCGUGCCAGCAGCCGCGGUAAUACGGAGGGUGCGAGCGUUAAUCGGAAUUACUGGGCGUAAAGCGUGCGUAGGUGGUUCGUUAAGUCAGAUGUGAAAGCCCUGGGCUCAACCUGGGAACUGCAUUUGAAACUGGCGGACUAGAGUUUAGUAGAGGGGAGUGGAAUUUCAGGUGUAGCGGUGAAAUGCGUAGAUAUCUGAAGGAACACCAGUGGCGAAGGCGACUCCCUGGACUAAAACUGACGCUGAGGUACGAAAGCGUGGGUAGCAAACAGGAUUAGAUACCCUGGUAGUCCACGCCGUAAACGAUGUCGACUAGCCGUUGGUCCUAUUUACAGGAUUAGUGGCGCAGCUAACGCAUUAAGUCGACCGCCUGGGGAGUACGGCCGCAAGGUUAAAACUCAAAUGAAUUGACGGGGGCCCGCACAAGC